rnacentral:rRNA from 1 species
CCUACGGGAGGCAGCAGUGAGGAAUCUUGCGCAAUGGGGGCAACCCUGACGCAGCAACGCCGCGUGAGUGAGGAAGGUCUUCGGAUCGUAAAGCUCUGUCAGUUGGGAAGAAACGGCUGGAGGUUAAUACCCUUCGGUCUUGACGGUACCAACAGAGGAAGCACCGGCUAACUCCGUGCCAGCAGCCGCGGUAAUACGGGGGGUGCAAGCGUUGUUCGGAAUUAUUGGGCGUAAAGAGCGUGUAGGCGGCCUGAUAUGUCAGAUGUGAAAGCCCUGGGCUUAACCCAGGAAGUGCAUUUGAAACUGUCAGGCUCGAGUAGGGGAGAGGGAAGUGGAAUUCCUGGUGUAGAGGUGAAAUUCGUAGAUAUCAGGAGGAACACCGGUGGCGAAGGCGACUUCCUGGCCCUAUACUGACGCUGAGACGCGAGAGCGUGGGUAGCAAACAGGAUUAGAUACCCUGGUAGUCCACGCCGUAAACGAUGUUCACUAGGUGUUGGGGGUAUUGACCCCCUCAGUGCCGGAGCUAACGCAUUAAGUGAACCGCCUGGGGAGUACGGUCGCAAGACUAAAACUCAAAGGAAUUGACGGGGGCCCGCACAAGCGGUGGAGCAUGUGGUUUAAUUCGAUGCAACGCGAAGAACCUUACCUGGGCUUGACAUCCACGGAACCUGCUGGAAACAGUGGGGUGCCCUUCGGGGAGCUAUGAG